ACGAACGCUGGCGGCGUGCUUAACCCAUGCCAGUCGCACGGAAAGGCCCUGCUUUUGUGGGGUGCUCGAGUGGCGAACGGGUGAGUAACACGUGAGUAACCUGCCCUUGACUUUGGGAUAACUUCAGGAAACUGGGGCUAAUACCGGAUAGGAGCUCCUGCUGCAUGGUGGGGGUUGGAAAGUUUCGGCGGUUGGGGAUGGACUCGCGGCUUAUCAGCUUGUUGGUGGGGUAGUGGCUUACCAAGGCUUUGACGGGUAGCCGGCCUGAGAGGGUGACCGGCCACAUUGGGACUGAGAUACGGCCCAGACUCCUACGGGAGGCAGCAGUGGGGAAUAUUGCACAAUGGGCGGAAGCCUGAUGCAGCAACGCCGCGUGCGGGACGACGGCCUUCGGGUUGUAAACCGCUUUCGCCUGUGACGAAGCGUGAGUGACGGUAAUGGGUAAAGAAGCACCGGCUAACUACGUG
rnacentral:rRNA from 1 species